rnacentral:rRNA from 1 species
ACGGGAGGCAGCAGUGGGGAAUUUUGGACAAUGGGCGCAAGCCUGAUCCAGCCAUGCCGCGUGUCUGAAGAAGGCCUUCGGGUUGUAAAGGACUUUUGUCCGGGAGCAAAUCCCAGUGGUUAAUACCUACUGGGGCUGAGAGUACCGGAAGAAUAAGCACCGGCUAACUACGUGCCAGCAGCCGCGGUAAUACGUAGGGUGCAAGCGUUAAUCGGAAUUACUGGGCGUAAAGCGUGCGCAGGCGGUUGUGCAAGUCUGAUGUGAAAGCCCCGGGCUUAACCUGGGAACGGCAUUGGAGACUGCACGACUAGAGUGCGUCAGAGGGGGGUAGAAUUCCGCGUGUAGCAGUGAAAUGCGUAGAGAUGCGGAGGAAUACCGAUGGCGAAGGCAGCCCCCUGGGAUGACACUGACGCUCAUGCACGAAAGCGUGGGGAGCAAACAGGAUUAGAUACCCUGGUAGUCCACGCCCUAAACGAUGUCAACUAGCUGUUGGGGGUUUGAAUCCUUGGUAGCGAAGCUAACGCGAGAAGUUGACCGCCUGGGGAGUACGGCCGCAAGGUUAAAACUCAAAGGAAUUGACGGGGA